rnacentral:misc_RNA from 1 species
CAAGAAAAUUUAAGUACUCUUGUAGUAUGCAUCUAGUGCUUCUAUGGUUACCUAAGCUUGACCAGUUCUCUCCCCUUGUAACACGAGCUACCAUACUUGGACCGGUGAGGUGAUGAAGCACACCCACUUCCCGCUUAGUUCCAGUCAGAUAUUAGCGACAGCUCUUUUCAACCAUGGAAGAGCUGAUUACGCGUGUAUAAGGGGAAGAAUUAACCAACCGUGGGAGGUUUGUAAAAAUGGAACUUAAGCCAUUUAAAUUACACAUUUCCUCCGUCUGAACUACUACAAGCUUGAUUUUGGACAUUAUUCCCAAAAUCUCCAUCCAAGCUAAUUUGUUGGACCUCUUGUGGAGAAAG